rnacentral:rRNA from 1 species
UACGAAGGGGGCUAGCGUUGCUCGGAAUCACUGGGCGUAAAGCGCACGUAGGCGGCUUUUUAAGGUCAGAGGUGAAAUCCUGGAGCUCAACUCCAGAACUGCCUUUGAUACUGAGAAGCUUGAGUCCGGGAGAGGUGAGUGGAACUCCGAGUGUAGAGGUGAAAUUCGUAGAUAUUCGGAAGAACACCAGUGGCGAAGGCGGCUCACUGGCCCGGUACUGACGCUGAUGUGCGAAAGCGUGGGGAGCAACAGGG